rnacentral:rRNA from 1 species
UGGGGAAUAUUGCACAAUGGGCGAAAGCCUGAUGCAGCGACGCCGCGUGAGGGAUGACGGCCUUCGGGUUGUAAACCUCUUUCAGUAGGGACGAAGCGCAAGUGACGGUACCUGCAGAAGAAGCACCGGCUAACUACGUGCCAGCAGCCGCGGUAAUACGUAGGGUGCGAGCGUUGUCCGGAAUUACUGGGCGUAAAGAGCUCGUAGGCGGUUUGUCACGUCGUCUGUGAAAUCCUAGGGCUUAACCCUGGACGUGCAGGCGAUACGGGCUGACUUGAGUACUACAGGGGAGACUGGAAUUUCUGGUGUAGCGGAGGAAUGCACAGAUAUCAGGGAGAACACCGAUGGCGAAGGCAGGUCUCUGGGUAGUAACUGACGCUGAGGAGCGAAAGCAUGGGUAGCGAACAGG